rnacentral:tRNA from 1 species
GCAGAUAUGGCCGAGUGGUUAAGGAGACUGACUCGAAAUCAGUUUCCAUCUUGGAGCGUAGGUUCGAAUCCUACUAUCUGCG